AGCUUUGCGCAGUGGCAGUAUCGUAGCCAAUGAGGUUUAUCCGAGGCACAAUUAUUGCUAAUUAAAAAUAAAAAAAUUAUAAAUUUCAAUCUACAUUCUAUGCUUUGAAAACAGAAGUCUAUGAACAUAAGAAAUUUA